GGAAAAUUCACUAUCCGUCAAUCGUGAUCGGAGAUUUUGAUGUCGGAGAUAGUAGUAGAAGAGGAAUCUAUAAUAAUGGAGAAUUUGUGUAUGGAUAUUGAUCCUCCGUUCAAGGAGAACCUCGCUACUGCUGAAGAUUGGCGGAAGGCUCUUAGCAAAGUAGUUCCUGCUGUCGUCGUACUCCGAACUACUGCUUGCCGAGCAUUCGACACUGAAUCUGCUGGUUGCAGCUCCGCAACGGGUUUUGUUGUUGAUAAGCGUCGCGGAAUUAUACUCACGAAUCGACAUGUUGUUAAACCUGGACCUGUGAUGGCGGAGGCUAUGUUUGUGAACCGUGAAGAAAUACCAGUUUACCCCAUAUACAGGGACCCUGUUCAUGAUUUUGGCU
rnacentral:misc_RNA from 1 species